UACGGAAGGUCCGGGCGUUAUCCGGAUUUAUUGGGUUUAAAGGGAGCGUAGGCCGUCUUAUAAGCGUGUUGUGAAAUGUCGGGGCUUAACCUGGGCAUUGCAGCGCGAACUGUGAGACUUGAGUGCGCAGGAAGUAGGCGGAAUUCGUCGUGUAGCGGUGAAAUGCUUAGAUAUGACGAAGAACUCCGAUUGCGAAGGCAGCCUGCUGUAGCGCAACUGACGCUGAAGCUCGAAAGCGUGGGUAUCGAACAGG
rnacentral:rRNA from 1 species